UGCCUCGUAGCUCAGCUGGUAGAGCGUGCGCGUACAAAGCGUAGGCGGCGUCAAUGCGUAGGUUCGAAACCCGCCGAAGCUA
rnacentral:tRNA from 1 species